UCUCAAGUUCUAAUAAAAU
rnacentral:sRNA from 1 species